rnacentral:lncRNA from 1 species
AAAGCUUUAUGGGCCCUUAGGAGUAGGGUGGGUGUCAGAGGAGAAAACCCCACUUCCUGGCCUCAGAAAGGCACACAGGGUUUCUCUGUGUAGCCCUGGCUGUCCUGAAGUCCAUCUUUUUUUUGCCCAUAAUUGGAUGACAGUGAUGUUAUGAUCAAGCCAGACCAGAGAUUUCCACCUUCAACCCGCCCAGGUAAAAAUCAGGAGAAUGGGGAAUGAAAAUCACACUCACUUCACAUUUCAUCGCUAGACUGCAGGGGAAAGAGAAGAUGCCCCAGCAGCAGAAAGCUUAGCUGGGAACACAGGCUCUGGGACGAGAAGAGGCACACCCAGCCGGGCUCACUUCUGACCCUUUGCUGAACUCAGUCUUGCCCCUGCCCAGAUUAAGGGCUAAGCCAGUCCUCAUCGUCAGCACAGCAGUAUCGAGAGGAAGACUGCGGCUGCUCUAAUUGCUAUGAAGUCUCUUGCCCUCAAAACCCUGAAGCACCAAAGCCUGAAUCCUUCCCGCGAAACACUGACCUCUCUCUCUCGGGCCCAGUCAUGCCCACUGCCCAAGUGCAGCAGCCGGGGAGAGCAGAGAUUGUUCUCAUCAUCGCCAAGGGCCGUGGAGAAGAGGAUGCUAGGAGACUUGCCUAUGAAUGAGGGCUUCUAUCUCACAUGUCCUCAGCCUUCUCAUGUUGGCCUUGACUUUCCAUCCUCAGUCUUGUGGUUGGCUGAAAUGUGGGCAUGUGGGUGGUAGGCAAGGACAGGUGCCCUUCUUUCUCUUUCAGAUCGUUCCCCCUGCUUGGCUGGGCUGCUUCUGUGUUCCCUGGAGAUGACAGCUAGGAACCUGGCCACCAGCUUCUGUUGUUCCCUGGGUUCCUUUUGGGCUUGGCCAGUGUGAGACAAGGGCAGGACAUCAGAAGUUGAGAGAGCAUCUCUUCCCCAUUGCUGCCUUUGCUGCCAUGUUUUGUCCCUGACAGGAGCUAUGCCCCUCCAUUCUGUGGCUCUCCCAGGUGACAUCCUGUAGGGUCUCAGCUCUCAAUAUAGACCAGCCACAUUAUUUCUUCCCUUGGCUCCUCUGGGCUCCAGGAUGACAGCAUCUCCCUGCUAUUACCAGUUCCCAGGGGGAGUUGGGGGUGGGGCCUCAGCAUUCCUGACACCUCCCAAUGAUCUAUAAACUAUUCCUCUACUG